rnacentral:snRNA from 1 species
AUACUUACCUGGCAGGGGGGAUACCAUGAUCACGAAGGUGGUUUUCCCAGGGCGAGGCUUAUCCAUUGCACUCCAGAUGUGCCGACCCCUGUGAUUUCCCCAAAUGUGAGAAACUCGACUGCAUAACUAAA